CAAUAGCGUAUAUUUAAGUUGUUGCAGUUAAAAAGCUCGUAGUUGGAUUUCGGUUGAGAACGGCCGGUCCGCCGUUUGGUGUGCACUGGCUGGUUUCAACUUCCUGUAGAGGACGUGCUCUGGCUUCACGGCUGGACGCGGAGUCUACGUGGUUACUUUGAAAAAAUUAGAGUGUUCAAAGCGGGCUUACGCUUGAAUAUUUCAGCAUGGAAUAACACUAUAGGACUCCUGUCCUAUUUCGUUGGUCUCGGGACGGGAGUAAUGAUUAAGAGGAACAGUUGGGGGCAUUCGUAUUCCGAUGUCAGAGGUGAAAUUCUUGGAUUAUCGGAAGACGAACAUCUGCGAAAGCAUUUGCCAAGGAUGUUUUCAUUAA
rnacentral:rRNA from 1 species